UCAAUAUAGGAUGAUCUUACUCGGAAUCACACUGAAAUGGCCUGAAACAGGCGAGAGAGAACCAUAGAUGUGAGCCUAACUAGCCUUGGUCCCUUAAGGGCCAUGGAGAUGGCAAGAGUAAUGUGAGAGAGGCCAUUGGAGGCCUGGGAGGUAGUGAGAAGCCACAGGAGAUAGCCAUAGAUAAGAGUCAAUGGGAUUGGAUUAGGGUUAGGUUGAGAGAGUUUGAGAGCAGAGAGGAUUAGAUGACGGCGGUAUAACGUAGGAAAUGAAUUAGCACUACAACAAAAAUGGCAUUUACCGGCAAUUAUUGAGCUGCAAUAACAUUAUUGCUGCUAAUUUAUUCCUCUAGACCCAAAUAUUACCGGCAGAUAAGCUAUAGCCAGAAAAAGUCAUGCUUUUGCUAUCAAUUGAAAGAAAUUGCCAGUGAAAGUCAAUAAUUGAAACAAACCUUUUAGAAUAUUUCAUUUCCCUCCAAGUUUUUCAUUCUAAAUGUUCCUUCCCUGGAUAAUAUAUCUGCUCGCAUUGCCCUAAUCAUACCUUUCCUCUUUGUAAACCACGAAUACACAAAGUCCAAAAGAGCAUCUUCCCAAUCAGUCUCGUCUUUUCUAUUAUGUGACACAAAUUCUCGAACAGAAUCAUGUUAGCCGGUGCUUUUCUAUAAUAUCUGAUCUUUUUUUGGUCUAUUUUUUGUUUUUGAUCUGCUUAUUUACGAUUCAUGAUAUUAAUUUUUUUUGUAUGUGUUUUAUCGUUAUUCAUAUGUUUAUGAAUACUUAACUGGUGUAGUACUUUUAUAUUUUAAACUUAAAACUCUAGUAAGAUUUGAGAAGCAAAAUCGGGUAUCGAAAUUUAAAGUUGUUACAGUCCACAAUUUUUUUGAUUGAUUUGAGAAACAGAGAAAGAAAAAUAAAUCUCGUAUCAGACACUUUUUCUUCUCUUCAUUUCUCUAAUAGCCAAAAAGCAUCAAAGGCUACUAAGUCUUUAAGGUGUUCUGUGUCAAGUUUCAUAUGUUAUUUUAGUCGAUCAUUUUCGCGGCUAACAUGUUUGUGAAAAUGCUAGCCAGAUUACUUGUCAAAAAAAUAAGUUAGAAUAUUAUUAUGGAAGCACAUAUUGCUACUGCUUUUGGCAUGAAAUGAGUAGUUACUUCCUACCAGUAAUUUUGGUGGUUUAUUUCUUAAAAGUUAUUUUGCUGUGAAGCAUGAUAAUUUCUAGGUUUCAUCGGAUACCACAUCACACUUUAAAUGUGUUUUGAAUUUGAGACAUGAGAAUGGUGGUGAGGAUGACCUCCAAGAGUAUUGCUGAUGGUGUAACGGGGUAUGCUUUUUCACCAAGUCAGCUAGCAUUGAUCUAUCGGCCUUUUGAAACAUUGAACGUUAAGUAGAUAAGAAUUGUUUUGUUAUUCUUAAACAAUGCUUGCAGGACAUAGGAGGUGCAUAGCUGAUAACACAAUCGUGAAAUUCCAUUUUUUAGUCUAGUAUAUACUAGUUGUGCUUAUUAUUUGAAGGUCACUUCAAAUGGAUUACACUUUAUCUUAAAUAUGAUGACUUUCAUCCUGCUCUUGUUGACUUUGAUCUGAUGUCUUUUUUGAUGUGCCAUUGAAUAGGAUGGCUAAGAAAUUGAUGGAUUGCUUUGUGCAAUUGAUGGAUUCAAUACAGGCGCAAUAAUUGGUCAAUUCAUUCUGUGCUUUCUUGUCUUUAAUUUUUAUUUUGUUUCUCUUUUAUCCUACGAAUUUGUGAUAAACGUUUUUCAUGUACAAGCUCUUCAGGUAUCACUUUCGUUAAUCAAUGUGUGAAGGGACCAAGAUGACUUUUAUUUUAUUGGGAUAGGGCUAUUAAUCCUUUUCAGUUGUUUCUCAUUUUUUCUUUGUCAAUCCUCCAUUUAAUUGUAUACUAGAUUUGUCCCUUCUCGCUCUCUCUAAAUUUGAGUAGAUAGGCAAUAUUCAGUUUCGUUUUAUAUAUUUCAUUCUUUUUUAUUUUGAGAUUUUGUCCUGCAGCUUCCUCCUCUUUUGAUGCUUUUUGCUACAAGUGCAACAUUUGGAGAGACAUACCCAAGCAAAUAGAAACAAUAGGGCCAAGCAAACGAUGCCUCACACAGGAGGAUCAAAAAGUAUUGCCACCUUGAUGAAUGAGCAAGUCAUACAGUCUGAUGUUCGAUAAUUUAGUGGUUGGAAGAUUUUAAAAUGAUGAAAAGUUGUGGAAAUCAUUUGAAGACCAUCAUUCUGGAUCAUUACUAUGAUGACAUUAGUUAUUUUGUCCAAACAAUAUAUUUUUAUGUUUUAAGUUACCGUGAUAUUAAUAUUUUUGAUUAAUACUUCCUUUUGUUUGUUAAGAUUUAAUGAGAUAUAUUACUUUUUUUUAAUUAAUAUUAAUAUAUUUUAUUA